GUGAAUAGUGAAAAAAAAUAUAAAAAAAAUUGACCGUGACACUAUAGCUAUAUUUUGAUUCGCAAUGACCAUAAGAGGGUUUACGGACGACCUAAAUGCCACAAUAUGCAUAAAAAUGAGGAAAUAUAAAAAAGAAGAUGUGGUAUUAUUGCCAAUGAGACAAACAUCCAAAAAAAACCAAAAUGACACAGAAAACAACAACUAUAGCUCACCGUACAGCCUACAACAAUGAGCAAAGCCCAUACCGCAUAGUCAGCUAUAAAGGCCCCAAUAAGACAAUGUAAAACAAUUUAAACAAGACAACUAACGGCCUUAGUUAUUUUAAAAAAUGAACGAAAAACAAAUAUGUAACACAUAAACAAACGAC
rnacentral:lncRNA from 1 species